UACAGAGGUCCCAAGCGUUGUUCGGAUUCACUGGGCGUAAAGGGUGCGUAGGUGGUGAGGUAAGUCGGAUGUGAAAGCUCGGAGCUCAACUCCGAAAUGGCAUUGGAAACUACCUUGCUCGAGGGAUGGAGGGGGGACUGGAAUUCUUGGUGUAGCAGUGAAAUGCGUAGAUAUCAAGAGGAACACCAGUGGCGAAGGCGAGUCCCUGGACAUCUCCUGACACUGAGGCACGAAAGCUAGGGGAGCAAACAGG
rnacentral:rRNA from 1 species